GAAGGGUCAUAGCUCAGUGGUAGAUCAUCUGCUUUGCAUACAGAAAGUCCCAAGUUCAAUCCUGGGGAUCUUCA